CGGACAUAUAGCGUUGAAACACCGGUUCAUAUACGAUCACCGAAGUUAAGCAAUGUCGACCCUGGGUGAUGGGUGACCGCUUGGGAAUACUAGGUGCUGUAAG